GGUAGUAGUGGGUGUAGCGUACCUACUAGCCUACGACGGGUACGGGUUGUGAGAGCAAGAGCCCGGAGAUGGAUUCUGAGACACGAAUCCAGGCCCUACGGGGUGCAGCAGGCGCGAAAACUUUACAAUGCUGGCAACAGCGAUAAGGGAACCUCGAGUGCCAGGUUACAAAUCUGGCUGUCGAGAUGCCUAAAAAGCAUUUCAUAGCAAGGGCCGGGCAAGACCGGUGCCAGCCGCCGCGGUAACACCGGCGGCUCGAGUGGUAACCGUUAUUAUUGGGUCUAAAGGGUCUGUAGCCGGCCGGAUAAGUCUCUUGAGAAAUCUGGCAGCUUAACUGUCAGGCUUUCAGGAGAUACUGUCUGGCUCGAGGCCGGGAGAGGUGAGAGGUACUUCAGGGGUAGGGGUGAAAUCUUGUAAUCCUUGAAGGACCACCAGUGGCGAAGGCGUCUCACCAGAACGGACCUGACGGCAAGGGACGAAAGCUAGGGGCACGAACCGGAUUAGAUACCCGGGUAGUCCUAGCCGUAAACGAUACUCGCUAGGUGUCGGCCACGGUGCGACCGUUGUCGGUGCCGUAGGGAAGCCGUGAAGCGAGCCACCUGGGAAGUACGGCCGCAAGGCUGAAACUUAAAGGAAUUGGCGGGGGAGCAC
rnacentral:rRNA from 1 species